rnacentral:rRNA from 1 species
GACGAACGCUGGCGGCGUGCUUAACACAUGCAAGUCAAGCGGUAAGGCCCUUUCGGGGGUACACGAGCGGCGAACGGGUGAGUAACACGUGGGUGACCUGCCUUUAGCUCUGGGAUAAGCCUGGGAAACCGGGUCUAAUACCGGAUAUGACUCCGCGGCGCAUGUUGUGGGGUGGAAAGCCUUGUGCGGCUGGAGAUGGGCCCGCGGCCUAUCAGCUUGUUGGUGGGGUGAUGGCCUACCAAGGCGACGACGGGUAGCCGGCCUGAGAGGGCGACCGGCCACACUGGGACUGAGACACGGCCCAGACUCCUACGGGAGGCAGCAGUGGGGAAUCUUGCGCAAUGGGCGAAAGCCUGACGCAGCGACGCCGCGUGA